AGAGUUUGAUCCUGGCUCAGGACGAACGCUGGCGGCGUGCCUAAUACAUGCAAGUCGAACGCUUCUUUUUCCACCGGAGCUUGCUCCACCGGAAAAAGAGGAGUGGCGAACGGGUGAGUAACACGUGGGUAACCUGCCCAUCAGAAGGGGAUAACACUUGGAAACAGGUGCUAAUACCGUAUAACAAUCGAAACCGCAUGGUUUUGAUUUGAAAGGCGCUUUCGGGUGUCGCUGAUGGAUGGACCCGCGGUGCAUUAGCUAGUUGGUGAGGUAACGGCUCACCAAGGCGACGAUGCAUAGCCGACCUGAGAGGGUGAUCGGCCACAUUGGGACUGAGACACGGCCCAAACUCCUACGGGAGGCAGCAGUAGGGAAUCUUCGGCAAUGGACGAAAGUCUGACCGAGCAACGCCGCGUGAGUGAAGAAGGUUUUCGGAUCGUAAAACUCUGUUGUUAGAGAAGAACAAGGAUGAGAGUAACUGUUCAUCCCUUGACGGUAUCUAACCAGAAAGCCACGGCUAACUACGUGCCAGCAGCCGCGGUAAUACGUAGGUGGCAAGCGUUGUCCGGAUUUAUUGGGCGUAAAGCGAGCGCAGGCGGUUUCUUAAGUCUGAUGUGAAAGCCCCCGGCUCAACCGGGGAGGGUCAUUGGAAACUGGGAGACUUGAGUGCAAAAGAGGAGAGUGGAAUUCCAUGUGUAGCGGUGAAAUGCGUAGAUAUAUGGAGGAACACCAGUGGCGAAGGCGGCUCUCUGGUCUGUAACUGACGCUGAGGCUCGAAAGCGUGGGGAGCAAACAGGAUUAGAUACCCUGGUAGUCCACGCCGUAAACGAUGAGUGCUAAGUGUUGGAGGGUUUCCGCCCUUCAGUGCUGCAGCUAACGCAUUAAGCACUCCGCCUGGGGAGUACGACCGCAAGGUUGAAACUCAAAGGAAUUGACGGGGGCCCGCACAAGCGGUGGAGCAUGUGGUUUAAUUCGAUGCAACGCGAAGAACCUUACCUGGUCUUGACAUCCACAGAACUUUCCAGAGAUGGAUUGGUGCCUUCGGGAACUGUGAGACAGGUGCUGCAUGGCUGUCGUCAGCUCGUGUUGUGAAAUGUUGGGUUAAGUCCCGCAACGAGCGCAACCCUUAUCCUUUGUUGCCAGCGGUCCGGCCGGGAACUCAAAGGAGACUGCCAGUGAUAAACUGGAGGAAGGUGGGGAUGACGUCAAGUCAUCAUGGCCCUUACGACCAGGGCUACACACGUGCUACAAUGGCGCAUACAAAGAGAAGCGACCUCGCGAGAGCAAGCGGACCUCAUAAAGUGCGUCGUAGUCCGGAUUGGAGUCUGCAACUCGACUCCAUGAAGUCGGAAUCGCUAGUAAUCGUGGAUCAGAAUGCCACGGUGAAUACGUUCCCGGGCCUUGCACACAACGCCCGUCAA
rnacentral:rRNA from 1 species